UGUAUCCUACGGGGGGCAGCAGUGGGGAAUAUUGGGCAAUGGGCGCAAGCCUGACCCAGCAACGCCGCGUGAAGGAAGAAGGCUUUCGGGUUGUAAACUUCUUUUCUCAGGGACGAAGCAAGUGACGGUACCUGAGGAAUAAGCCACGGCUAACUACGUGCCAGCAGCCGCGGUAAUACGUAGGUGGCAAGCGUUAGCCGGAUUUACUGGGUGUAAAGGGCGUGUAGGCGGGACUGCAAGUCAGAUGUGAAAACCACGGGCUCAACCUGUGGCGUGCAUUUGAAACUGU
rnacentral:rRNA from 1 species